GACGAACGCUGGCGGCGUGCUUAACACAUGCAAGUCGAACGGAAAGGCCCUGCUUUUGUGGGGUGCUCGAGUGGCGAACGGGUGAGUAACACGGGAGUAACCUGCCCUUGACUUUGGGAUAACUUCAGGAAACUGGUGCUAAUACCGGAUAGGAGCUCCUGCUGCAUGGUGGGGGUUGGAAAGUUUCGGCGGUUGGGGAUGGACUCGCGGCUUAUCAGCUUGUUGGUGGGGUAGUGGCUUACCAAGGCUUUGACGGGUAGCCGGCCUGAGAGGGUGACCGGCGACAUUGGGACUGAGGUAGGGACCAGACUCGUACGGGAGGCAGCAGUGGGGAACAUUGCACAGUGGGGGGAAGCCUGAUGCAGCAACGCCGCGUGCGGGAUGCAGGCCUUCGGGUUGUAAACCGCUGUCGCCUGUGACGAAGCGUGAGUGACGGUAAUGGGUAAAGAAGCACCGGCUAACUACGUG
rnacentral:rRNA from 1 species